CUUUUUCAGGCAAAGGUUCAUCGUCCGUCAUCCUGUCUGUGGUGCUGCUGCCUGUAAAAUAAAAUGCUAUUAAUUAAAAAAGAGAAGAAUCCUUAACCGUAACCUUUCUCCCAGCGAGAUAAAUCAGUUUGUUACCCUUAGCCACAAAACCUACGCAGUACGUAGCUUUAACGGAAAUUUGUUUUUCCGUGAUGCUAUGUUAACAUUAGCUAAUCAAGCUAACCUACGUUACAUAAACUAAGGUUUAUCUUGGUAAACAUUAACGGAACAUUGGCCCCAAAGACUUUCGGCAAACGUUUAAGCAGCUUCUGUACAAGUUUGAGGCCAAAGUAUGACAUAAAGUAGUAAUACUUAUAGUGUUACUUCUUAGCAUAGUUAUAGCUAGCAUUUUAGCAUGCUGUAACAUUAGCGCAAGCUUAGCUUUCGGGAUGUACCUUACUGUGCAAAGUCCACCUUAAAUAAACUUAUUUCACUUUUUAAUUUCAAAUUGCUUUCCAGCUACAAUUAAAAGGUACAUCAACCUAAGGUGUCACAAAUCAGGCUCAUUACUUGUGACAAGGAGGGGAGAUAAGAGAAGUUAAAUGCCAAUUAAGUUUAUCAGAAUUUAAACAAACAUUACUGUUUACAAAAAAUGAACAUGAGGUGUGGCGUAUUUGCAUUAGUAGUGGAUGGUGGAAUGUAAUGUUAUAUGAGUGAGGAAUGUUAGUGUUGAAGCCACAAAAUGUCAAACCACACCAAACCAAAAGAGAGCAAGAGAGAGGGACAAUGGGCUGGCAUUAAUAGCCUUGGUGGAGGCCUAAACUGAAGGAGAAGACAGGGUCACUUGAGGUCAGAUCCACCUUGGCCCUACGAGCUUGCUGCCUAGUACAAUACCCUACCUUGACACCAAACAAUAACAAUGCCCUCUGGCUGUGUUUCACUGAUGAAGCUUGCCAAGCUCCCCCAUCCAAGAGUCUGAAAAGUGGCAUAAGGAUACACUACACCAGGGUCAGGUGGUGUCCCCGCAUAGUCACUGGAGCACAAACAAGAUGGUGAUAACCCACCUACAACCAACAGCAAAAAAGGGCUUUUGGACACUGGACCUACAUGGGAUAAGAUUGCAUGAUUGGUAUCAAGUCAUUCUGCGGUUCACCUUAGACGACAUUGUCAAAGAUCGCUUAAGUCAACCAUGGCACAUUGGUUUGGUGUCUGACAUCAACUUCAAAGUUUAAAGUUGUCAACACCCAUCAGAGAAUGAGG